GUGGGCUAAGUUUUUCUCUUGGAUGGUUAUCGUAGUAGGAGCGGGUGCGGUUGCGGGUGCGGUUGUAUUAUCUUCCAUAUCUUCGUCGCGGGUUUUUCUUUUCUUCGAGGUAUGGGCUGUUUCUUCAGUGAGGUUGGUGGUAGAAUGGAACUGGUCGGUAGACAUGAGGCUGACGGUUGUAACUACAACGCAGGACGGCUAAGGUGGAUCGUGUGCGGAUGCAGGGGUUCACAGAAAAAUACCAGG
rnacentral:lncRNA from 1 species